rnacentral:sRNA from 1 species
GCCAGGUAUGGUGGCACAUGCCUGUAAUUCCAGCGGCAUGGGCGGCUGAGGCAGGAGGAUCACGAGUUCAAAGCCAGCUUUAGCAAUGGUUCAAAGCAAUUCAGUGAGACCCUGUCUCUA